GAGUUUGAUCUUGGCUCAGGAUGAACGCCGGCGGUGUGCCUAAUACAUGCAAGUCGUACGCACUGGCCCAACUGAUUGAUGGUGCUUGCACCUGAUUGACGAUGGAUCACCAGUGAGUGGCGGACGGGUGAGUAACACGUAGGUAACCUGCCCCGGAGCGGGGAUAACAUUUGGGAACAGAUGCUAAUACCGCAUAACAACAAAGGCCACAUGGCUUUUGUUUGAAAGAUGGCUUUGGCCAUCACUCUGGGAUGGACCUGCGGUGCAUUAGCUAGUUGGUAAGGUAACGGCUUACCAAGGCGAUGAUGCAUAGCCGAGUUGAGAGACUGAUCGGCCACAAUGGAACUGAGACACGGUCCAUACUCCUACGGGAGGCAGCGGUAGGGAAUCUUCCACAAUGGGCGCAAGCCUGAUGGAGCAACACCGCGUGAGUGAAGAAGGUUUCGGCUCGUAAAGCUCUGUUGUUGGAGAAGAACGUGCGUGAGAGUAACUGUU
rnacentral:rRNA from 1 species